CCGCUAAACCGAACACCAUUCCAUGGUCCCGAUCGAAAUGUCACAGCUGACCCUUUCCUCAGAAUUAGCUGAGGAUACCCUCUAGGAUCAAGCCGAUAUGUAAAAUCACCUUUAGAAGGGUCAUCAGCGCUCUUCCAUGCUGACAGGUACCGGUCCAGGCCAGUGACUGUGUUCCUUCCAAGCUUCAUCCCUGGGAGAAGAGUAUUGCAUGGAUAAUCGAAGCUCUGCCAUAAGAAAUUUUCUGGGUUGUCGUCAUUUCCAUCUUUCAUGACAAGAUUUCCAGACUCCAAAAUCUGGGCAGUUGGAUUUCGUGCAGAUCGUGAAGAAUUAGAAGACCAAAGAAUGGUAUUAGUACCAUUGAGAACGGCAAGAGUUCCCUGAUCAGUAACCUUCAGAACCCCUGAUGAAUCAGCGAGAGGAGUUUCCCUGUUGGCAACCCACACAACAGUCCUAAUAGAAACUUUCUUGUACCACAUCCCCAAAUACCGUCUGCUUGAAUUAUCCGGUCUGAAGAAGCCCAGUUCAAAGCUCCCACCAGCUGAAGUGAGGAUCUCGCCAUCUCUAAGAAGUUGAUUCAAAGCUAUCGUGUCCACUGUAAAAGAGAUUCUAAAGAUGGAGAAAACAAUAACAAGGGUUAAUGUAAGGGCACCCAUGAUGAUCUCUCAGCGUGGAAGAAUAGUUUUAUUUACGAGAAGAGAUGCCCAGAUGAAGAAUGCCUGAGACCUUAGCAAGAAUGGAGAUAGUUUUUCUCCCAAGCCAUGGUCGCUGAUUUCUACGACCAUGAUCAAUAAAUCAUUUUCUUUCACUCUUCCUGUUGGUAGCGUAGCCCUUGAAUUCAAUAUCGACUCCGACAUGUAUUAUAGAUUAGAGGGCAUCCUUAUACAUAUUUGACUACAAUGGUCCGGUGGUCGUAGGCUCAUGCAUUCAUUCAGAUUCUAAUCAUAUCGUGUUUUUUUGAGAGAGAAAAAAAAUUGAAUCCAAAGAUUCCGAAUUUUACGGCGAAGAAUGCCUGGUCACAUGUACUCUAGAUAUUGUUGGAUUAUAAGGUCAAAGUUAGUUUUGUUAUACUUAUCUUCAUAUGUAUGGGGUUAAAUUGUUCACUCAACUCACAAGUUCGAGCUUCACAAUCAUAACUUUUUUUAUUCAUUUUGAUUAAUGAAUUAUUGAAUAUUGAUACACCCGUAAACGUAAGAAUUACAUUGAUCAUUAAAUCAUAUUAAAAAAAAUUUCUCUUUUUUUAUAUAUAUUAUGUGUGCCCGUGAUUUGGUUAACAACCAUAAUCUUAAAACAAAACAAUCCAUUUCGUAGGCAUCCAUUUUUUUUUUCUAAGCGUUUUCCCACUCAAACAACCAUAUUAGGCACCAUUCGGAUUAAAUAUUUAUAAAAUUAUUUAAUUAUUUAAUACUAUAAUUAUAAUAAUACUAGAAGUGUUUCUAGGUUAUGAAAUUCAAUUUCAUGAUUUUAAUAUAAAUCAAAGACUUUUUCUUUCCAUUUCUUUUAAAUUAUAAUUGUCAUUUUCACUUUUUUUUUCUUUUAAUUAUGAAUUAGUAUGAUGAGAAAAUAAUAAAAAUUUGAUGAAAAUUAAAUUUUAUCCUUUCUUAUAACUAAAAUUCAUUUCUAAAUAUUUAAUAAAAUUAUAAACAUUCUAAAAUUAUUUAUAUUUUUCAUAAACAUAAAAAAAAUAUAAAUAAUUAUUCAAGUAAAUUAAAAAGAGAUUUUAAUUUAUUUAUUAGGAGGAAUUAUACAAAUAUAUAUAAAAAAAAUGAAAUUUUCAACAAAACCCAAGCUGCUUUUCAAAGCAAGUAAGGUUAAGUUUUUUAAUUUUUUAUAUUUUAUUUUCAAUCCCAUGUGAAUGUGCAUGUAGAGUGCUGAGAUGACAUUUUUCUCAUUAGCCAUGAAAUUAAUGGGAAUGGGAACAAAAGAAGGCUGCUAAAAAAGGUCACGUAAGAUCAUGUGAUUAGACCUAUUUUUGGUCCAAGUGGCCCGCAUGUUAUCACCAUGAUUUUAAAAAUCGGACUAGACCGGUCGAACCGUCGACCGAUCAACCCUCCCACCCCCACCCCUCGCCAUGCGCCCCCAAGCCUGGUUGGAAAAUUCCCUCAUCCCCCCUCAUUUCCUCUCUCAAAAUCCCCUUGUGCCUUGCCUUCCUAGUUCCUAUCGCCUUCCAUUUUUAUUUUUUAUAUUUAAUUUCUUAAUUUUUUGUUGAUUAUAAUUGUAAUGAUAUGUUUAACAUUUAAAAUUUUUAUUGUUAUUUUAUUUAUUACACAUUAAAAUUUUAAUUUAUUGAAAUUAUUGCGUUAAUUGACAUCUAUAGGUAAAAAAGCUUUGUGAAAAAACUCAACAAAUAAAGUAGAUAUUAUCAAAAUUUAGAUAAAAUUUAUUUUUUUUAUUUUAAUAAUAUAUAAAAAUAUAUAUUUAUGAUGUCAUCGAUUCGAUCACGGUUCGACCGUCAAUCCGACCAGUGAACCAUGAAUCGAUAACUUUUUCGGUUUAAUGACCAAUUUAGUUCUAAAAACAUUGGAUAUCACCAUAUAUGCUAUUUCAAAUUCACUUGACCUUCGAUAACUCGAUUAAUGCAUCAUUUGACCUUUUGAUUGUUUUUUUUCAAUCAUAUCCAAAAGUUAGUUUCAUGGGUAACACACAAAAAUGCUAGUAUGCGUUGCUGAAGCGGGCCGUCCCUCGACUCCAGGACCUCCCUCAGCUCCAGGACCAUGCAAAGGUGCGAGUGCCUAAGCCCCAGCCUUUUGAUGGUGUAUGGAACAUCAAGGAUUUGGAAAACUUUCUAUGAGGCAUAGGGCAGUUUUUCAGUGCUGCUCAUAUCCAUGUGAAUGAACAAGUAACAAUUAUUUUCAUGUAUCUCUCGGGAUAUAUAUAAAGCUUUGGUGGCAUACAAAAACAAGUGAUGAUGUUGCGACUGGAAUACGAAGGACCAACACUUGGGAGAUAUUAAAAAAGGAACCGAAGGAUCAAUUCCUUCCCAUAAACACAACGUGGAUGGCUCGAGAGUCCUUGAAAAAGUUAAAGAAAACCAACUCUAUCAAAAACUAUGUCAAGGAGUUAUGUCACAAUUUUUAUUUUUUUAUUUUUUGCAGUUUGGCUUAAUAAGAUCGGUUUCCUAAUGUGAAUAAAGAACUCAAAUAUUUUCUACCAUUUAUUUGUUAAAUUAAGAAUUAUUUUCAACUAUUUUAUUUAAAUCCAAAAGAAUUAACUUUUAUAUAAAUCUCAAAUGUGAGCGGUGCUUUUGUAUAAAUUUCUAUACACAUUGUAUGAAAUUAACUAAGGUAUUAUUUGGAAUAUUUUUUUUGCUUUUUGUGAUAAGAAAUUGAAACCGAAUUACAAUUCUUCUUCUUCAAAAAAAAAAAAAAAAACCGAUAUUAUAAAAAAAUUAUCAAACAUGAAAAAACUUCUUUCAUAAACCAAAAUAAAAUUUCUAUAAAAAGUAAUUCUAUAAGAUUGUCAUUUUAGGCAAAGGAGGAGGAUCCAAAAUUAAAAAAAGUGGAGAUCAACAAGCAAUGCUUCCAAUGGACAAUCUACACGUAAUCUCUACGGCCAUUUCUGUAAUAGGAGAAAAUUCGAUACAGUGCUCUCUGAUAGGAGUCAAUUGAGCUUCUACCAAAAAAUUUAUAUUUUCUUCAACUUUCAUAUUAAGUACUUUUUCAAAUCAUAAGUUUUUCCAAUAAAAUUAACUAAAUAGACAUAGAAGCAACGCUUUUGGCCUUUAGAGAAUUCGACCUGGAACGGGGUCUAACUCACAUUCAGCCUUGAGAUAAAGACAACAAAUUCCAUCCAAGUCAAUGUGAAUUUGCAGCUUUGAGUCCCAUAUGUGUUAAAUAAACAGGCGCCCUUGUUAGAAUUUUGUUGUUCCUCUGUAGUUUGGUCAAUUGUGAAAUAUCACAUGGUCUACCUAGUUGGUCUCAUUCCCACAUGCAACCCAUAAGAUGCAUGAGAUGUACAUUCCUUCCUGUCUGUUCCUGGAGCUAACAUGUGAGGGUUUGGUUUAAUGUUACGGUGUCUACUGCAAUGGAAAUUCUUAAGAAGAAGUGAACAGAGAAGAUGAUCACAAGUCUUGUCACAGCAUCCAUGGAUGUUCUAAUGUUUCCACACAUGGUUACACAUCUCCUUGAUGGUUGAUGCCAUGAAGAGAAUGCUUAAAAGCUCAUGUGCUUCCAAGUCUGCUAUUUUUCCAUUGUAAAAAUCUGCACAAGUCCCGUCAAACUUCUGAAUUAACGUAGCUUUCAGACCAUUGACCACAGCUCCAUAAUUUUAUUAAUAUAAACAAUCAAUCCUUUUCUUUCAACAUUUGUAGUGUACAUUGAGGCUUGAGUAUCUUGACUUCAAUAGUUUUAUUUGUAUAAUGUACAGGACAUAAUCAAUCCCCCAGUUGUCCUCAGAGAAGACGGCCUCAAAUCUUGUAGAUGAGACUACCCUCUGGGAUACAUAUAUAUAAAACAAGUACCUAGCCUCUAUACAGAUUCCCAAGUCUUCAAUUCUAAAUCUAACGAAAAUUUGGAUAAACCUAUUGAAUCGCCUGAAGACCAGGUCUUUAGACAAUGAACAUCAACAUGAAUGUCUUUAUCGACCAUCGAACAUUGUAAUGGUGAUCCCAUUGCCUGAAAAUGGCCCCUGAUUGCCUGAGGAGGAAGUUGAUCCCCUUCCAGUGAAAAAGCCAGGCUCUUUAGGCUGAGGCAGUGUACUGUCACUACUCAGCAUCAGAACCACCGAAGACAUGCUUGGCCGCUCAUCUGGACCACACUGUACACAUAAUAGUCCCACAUUGAUCAAACGUAACACUUGUGACAGAUUAUGUAUGUCCCCAACAGAUGAAUCAAUCAGCUCCAUUGACCUGCCUUCCAUGUACAGUGUCCAGGCCUAGAGAAUUCAAAAUCAUGUCAGCAGUAGAUUUUUCAUGGUGAAACGAGGUUGAUAUUACUCUGAUACUUACAUGCCCAAGAAGGUUAAGGGAGUGGUCUGGGUGAGAAAAUCCUCUGUUUCUCUUCCCACUCACAAUCUCUAGCACCAGCACACCAAAGCUAAAAACAUCCGACUUUGUUGAGUAUAGUCCAUCAAUUGCAUAUUCUGGGGACAUGUAACCACUGUAGGAAACCAUUGAACAUAAAAACAUGAAUUUACAAGCAAUAUAAAUAAGAAUGCUUAACAAAAUUACUAGAUAUACUUACUAUGUUCCAACCACUCUUUUUGUAUUUGCUUCAGUUUCGUUUCCUCCAAAACUUCUAGCUAUGCCAAAAUCUGAAAUUUUUGGGGUCAUCUCUUCAUCUAGCAGAACAUUGUCUGCUUUUAGAUCUCUAUGGAUGAUCCUGAGUCUGGAAUCUUGAUGAAGAUAAAGAAGGCCUCGAGCAAUCCCAUUGAUAAUCAAGAAGCGCUUAUUCCAAUCCAGUUCCAUGCUUCGUGUUUUAUCUGCCCAGUUUUUCCUCGGUCAUUUACUAAUAACAUAUUGAACGUGCAUUAAAAAUAAUUCCAUCAACCAAACAAUCAUGGAUUUUCCUGAGAGUGGUUCAGAUAGCGACAACACGUGUAACACUGAAAGAAACUGUGACUGAUCCCCAUUUUCAACUAAUAAAAAUGUUCAAAGGGAUGAAAUGGUUAUCCAAAUCUCUGUUAUUAUAAAGAAGACCCAAAUGGGCAAGGGAAAAUAGAAGUGAGAAUUCUAUAGAUCCAUGUGUUGCAGUGUUGCAACCUGACCAUGUUUGUAAAAAAUUUCCCAUAAACCAUGCAUAAUGGAGAAAAAAAGAACAAUCACUCAAGUAGAUUAGCUAAACUAAAUCUACUGGGUUUUAGAGAGUCAAACCAAAAAUGAAGGAAUCCAAGCUUUUGUUAGGCAUGUACUCAUAGAUCAACAUCUUUUCUUCAUCAUGAAUGCAACCUCCAAGAAGCCUCACAAGAUUUCGGUGUUGAAGUUUGGAGAUGUAUAUAACUUCAUUUUUGAACUCAUUAAGUCCUUGACCAGAAUUUUUUGACAGCCUUUUCACAGCUAUUUCUUGUUCCUCUUGCAACGUACCCUGGAAUUAAAACUCAAUAUCAUGGUUAGAGUAUUAUACCAUUAGGAGAAUGUUGUGUUUGUAUGCAUUGUUCUUUACACUUCCCUUUUUUUUACCCUACUUUCUUCAUAAUGCUGCAAUAUCUAUGUCAUGAUUUAUGAGAAAGAAAUGCACUCUUCAAAUGAACACAUUCUUCAUGUUUCCUUUGCAAAACCUUUAUUUCAAUUUGGUAAGAAUAUCUUUAAGAGUUCAUAAACCUUUUACAAGGGUUAUCAUUGGAUCUUUGCAGGAUGGAUCCCCACAUAGCGCAUCAACCCUAGGCAUGCUAACUGGAGAUCAAUCUGACCACAGGAUGGAACCUGAGCUAUUCUUCACCAAUCUUAAUCAAUUCCCACCAUGUCUAUAAGAUGAUCAUAGUUGAAUCUAAGACGAGAGCAACAAAAUUGGCUGUCUUUAGCCCAGAAAAAUGCACAUAUUCUUACCUUGUAUACAAGUCCAAAACCACCCUCUCCGAGCUUAUUAUGAAUUGAAAAGUGAUUGGUAGCUUUUGAUACUGUAGCAAAGUCAAAUAAUGGUAACUCUACAUCCUCCUUCUGUCCUCCCUCUAAAUUGUAUCCCAUUGUCCCUGCAAAGUGAAGCAAAUGAAAACAAAUUACAUAUUGUAUAAAUUGUGUCAGAAUGUUGGGAUGUAAUUUGGAUGACCAUGGGUGAGGCUCAAUCCACCUUGGGGCCAGUUCAGUACACUGCAAACCUGAACUUGAUUCAUUACCAGCCUUAGAUUAAUGGACCAAUCAUGCAAUUGAACCAGAUUGUUCCCUUGCUUCAUUUGUCCAGAAUAAAGAACCACACAAGUUGAUAUUUUUACUACUGUAUAUAGUGAUACAAGUCAUAUGGGCUGUUACCUUUUUUCCUUAGCUUUUUCUUCUUCAGAAGAUACAAGGUCAAGAGGAGACAAAGGAGUAUUAUUCCCAAACUUGACACCGAGCCAACAAUGACCCACUCUCGUUUCUUCCCUUUGAAGUUGCCACUCCUCCCUGUAGAACCAUCUCAACCCAAGUGGAAAGCAUUAGACAGGUAAACAAGGUCGUAAGAUACAAAAAUGCGAAUUCUACUAGGAGGGACUAUUGAUCCUGAGAAAAUUUGAAGUUCACAACCAUGAAAUUAGUACUUUACAGAGCCGCAGUUGCUGCAGGAAUACAAAGAAUGGUUCAGUUGAACAAUUGAUCAAACAACAAAAAUGCAGUGUUUCCCCCUUCAAAUUUUGCACCAAAAACAUGUUUUUCAGGUAAGGAAAAGAUCGAUGCGAUGCAUACCUAAUUCUGAGGCAGCCAUCCUUACAUAAAGCUCCUGUCCAUUUUCAUUGAACUCUCUGAUAUCAAUCAAGUCACCAAACCAGAGUAAGCAUCCACUUCCUCCAUCUCUUAUAUCCAAAUUUGUAUAAGCGGUGCAAGAGCAGUUACUCAAGCACACUGCCGCACAUUCCUUAAGGUCCAUGCUUCUAUUAAACCAGGAGUUCCGUGUGUCUGGCAGUUUCACACCAGAGAACUUCACAAAACCUUCACCAUUCUGACAACCCAGUGGAGUACUCCGAACACAUCCAUUAGACCAAUCUGCCAUGUCCCAAUCAUUUGGGAAUUUUGGCACAAACCCUUCCAUACACUCACAUUUUGGAGAUCGGUUAAUGUUGCAGCUUCCAUACACACCACAUAACGCAUAACUGUCACAGCUAUCCAUUGGGGCGGAUGAGUAUAGGAUCCAACCAUGGGUUCGAUCAAUCCAAUUGACACGCUGCUUGGAGCCAUCAGGAUUCAGCACCAACCUUGAAACAACUGAGCUGUUAACAAGUUCAUAACGAAAAUACAUCUCCUUUUCAUUAAAAACAAACUCGUAGGUAUAAACAGGGUUGCUCCCUAAUUCGGGAAAGCCGCUAAACCGGAGACCAUUCCACGGCCCAGAUCGAAAUGUCACAGCUGAUCCUUUCCUCAGAAUUAGCUGGGGAUACCCACUAGGAUCAAGCCGGUAUGUGAAAUUACCUUUAGAAGGGUCAUCGACGCUCUUCCAUGCUGACAGGUACCGGUCCAGGCCAGUGACUGUGUUCCUUCCAAGCUUCAUCCCUGGGAGAAGAGUAUUGCAUGGAUAAUCGAAGCUCUGCCAUAAGAAAUUUUCUGGGUUGUCGUCAUUUCCAUCUUUCAUAACAAGAUUUCCAGAAUCCAAAAGCU
rnacentral:lncRNA from 1 species